AUACGGAGGGUGCAAGCGUUAAUCGGAAUUACUGGGCGUAAAGAGUACGUAGGUGGUUUAUUAAGUCAGAUGUGAAAGCCCCGGGCUUAACCUGGGAACUGCAUUUGAUACUGGCAAACUAGAGUAUGGUAGAGGCGGGUAGAAUUCCUAGUGUAGCGGUGAAAUGCGUAGAUAUUAGGAGGAAUACCAGUGGCGAAGGCGGCCCGCUGGACCAAUACUGACACUGAGGUACGAAAGCGUGGGUAGCGAACAGGAUUAGAUACCCCGGUAGUCC
rnacentral:rRNA from 1 species